GAAGGGGGCUAGCGUUGUUYGGAAUUACUGGGCGUAAAGCGCGUGUAGGCGGUUGUCCAAGUUGGAUGUGAAAGCCUUGAGCUCAACUCAAGAAAUGCAUUCAGGACUGGAUGACUAGAGGACCGGAGAGGAUAGUGGAAUUCCCAGUGUAGUGGUGAAAUACGUAGAGAUUGGGAAGAACACCAGUGGCGAAGGCGGCUAUCUGGACGGUUUCUGACGCUAAGACGCGAAAGCGUGGGGAGCAAACAGGAUUAGAUACCCUGGUAGUCCACGCCGUAAACGAUGGGUGCUAGACGUUGGCGAGCUUGCUCGUCAGUGUCGCAGCUAACGCGUUAAGCACCCCGCCUGGGGAGUACGGCCGCAAGGKUG
rnacentral:rRNA from 1 species